UAGGUUUGUCCUAAGUCAAACUUCCUUAACUUUGACCAAGCUUAUAAAAAAUAAUUACCAAUAUCCACAACAUCAAAUAUGUAUAGUAUGAAAAUAUACUUUAUGAUCAAUUUAAUAAAACUAAUUUGGUCUUGUAAAUGUUUGUAUAUUUUUCUAUAGACUUGGUCAAACUAAAAAAAUGUUUGACUUAGGACAACCUAGA
rfam:Triticum aestivum genome assembly, contig: Triticum_aestivum_CS42_TGACv1_scaffold_375625_5AL